rnacentral:rRNA from 1 species
ACUCAAAGGAAUUGACGGGGGCCCGCACAAGCAGCGGAGCGUGUGGUUUAAUUCGAUGCAACGCGAAGAACCUUACCCGGGCUUGACAUGCAGGUGGUACCGAGGCGAAAGCCGAGGGACCCGCGAGGGGGCCUGCACAGGUGCUGCAUGGCUGUCGUCAGCUCGUGCCGUGAGGUGUUGGGUUAAGUCCCGCAACGAGCGCAACCCCCGCCGCCAGUUGCCAUCUCUGGCGGGACCGCCGGGACCAACCCGGAGGAAGGUGGGGACGACGUCAAGUCAGCACGGCCCUGACGCCCGGGGCCACACACACGCUACAAUGGCCGGUACAGCGGGACGCCAAGGGGCGACCCGGAGCCAAUCCCGACAAAGCCGGUCCCGGUGGGGAUCGCAGGCUGCAACCCGCCUGCGUGAACGCGGAGUUGCUAGUAACCGCGGGUCAGCACACCGCGGUGAAUACGUUCCCGGGCCUUGCACACACCGCCCGU